rnacentral:rRNA from 1 species
ACAGAGGGUGCAAACGUUGUUCGGAAUCACUGGGCAUAAAGCGUACGUAGGCGGCGCCGUAAGUGUCGGAUGAAAUCCCACGGCUUACCCGUGGAACGGUCCGGCAUACUGCGGUGCUAGAGGAUGGUAGAGGAGAGCGGAACUCUUGGUGGAGCGGCGAAAUGCGUAGAUAUCAAGAGGAACACCGGUGGCGAAGGCGGCUCUCUGGUCCAUGUCUGACGCUGAGGUACGAAAGCCAGGGGAGCAAACGGGA